GGGCGUGUAGCUCAGCGGUAGAGCGCUUGCCUUACAAGCAAGUGGUCGGGGGUUCGAUCCCCUCCGCGCCCA
rnacentral:tRNA from 1 species